GAUGAACGCUGGCGGCGUGCCUAAUACAUGCAAGUCGAACGCAUUGUGGUUGAAAUGAUAUGAAGAACUUGUUCAGAUUUGAUUUUCAACAUUGCAAUGAGUGGCGAACGGGUGAGUAACACGUGGGAAACCUACCUCUUAGCAGGGGAUAACAUUUGGAAACAAAUGCUAAUACCGUAUAAUAAUUAAAACCGCAUGGUUUUAGUUUAAAAGAUGGUCUUGCUAUCACUAAGAGAUGGUCCCGCGGUGUAUUAGUUAGUUGGUGAGGUAAUGGCUCACCAAGACAAUGAUACAUAGCCGAGUUGAGAGACUGACCGGCCACAAUGGGACUGAGACACGGCCCAUACUCCUACGGGAGGCAGCAGUAGGGAAUCUUCCACAAUGGACGAAAGUCUGAUGGAGCAACGCCGCGUGUGUGAUGAAGGGUUUCGGCUCGUAAAACACUGUUGUAAGAGAAGAAUGACAUUGAGAGUAACUGUUCAAUGUGUGACGGUAUCUUACCAGAAAGGAACGGCUAAAUACGUGCCAGCAGCCGCGGUAAUACGUAUGUUCCAAGCGUUAUCCGGAUUUAUUGGGCGUAAAGCGAGCGCAGACGGUUAUUUAAGUCUGAAGUGAAAGCCCUCGGCUCAACCGAGGAAUUGCUUUGGAAACUGGAUAACUUGAGUGCAGUAGAGGAAAGUGGAACUCCAUGUGUAGCGGUGAAAUGCGUAGAUAUAUGGAAGAACACCA
rnacentral:rRNA from 1 species